rnacentral:rRNA from 1 species
GACGAACGCUGGCGGCAUGCCUAAUACAUGCAAGUCGAGCGAAUGAUGAAGAAGCUUGCUUCUUCUGAUUUAGCGGCGGACGGGUGAGUAACACGUGGGCAACCUGCCCUGUAGAUUGGGAUAACUCCGGGAAACCGGGGCUAAUACCAAAUAAUCCAUUUCCUCUCAUGGGGAAAUGUUAAAAGACGGUUUCGGCUGUCACUACAGGAUGGGCCCGCGGCGCAUUAGCUAGUUGGUGAGGUAACGGCUCACCAAGGCGACGAUGCGUAGCCGACCUGAGAGGGUGAUCGGCCACACUGGGACUGAGACACGGCCCAGACUCCUACGGGAGGCAGCAGUAGGGAAUCUUCCACAAUGGACGAAAGUCUGAUGGAGCAAUGCCGCGUGAGUGAAGAAAGGUUUUCGGAUCGUAAAACUCUGUUGUGAGGGAAGAACAAGUACGAGAGUAACUGCUCGUACCUUGACGUACCUCAUUAGAAAGCCACGGCUAACUACGUGCC